rnacentral:rRNA from 1 species
CCGAACCCACCAGGGUUAAAAACCUGGGGGAUGAGCUGUGGGUAGGGGUGAAAGGCCAAUCAAACUCCGUGAUAGCUGGUUCUCCCCGAAAUGCAUUUAGGUGCAGCGUCGCAUGUUUCACCUCGGAGGUAGAGCUACUGGAUGGCCGAUGGGCCCUACAAGGUUACUGACGUCAGCCAAACUCCGAAUGCCGGGGUGUGAGAGUGCGGCAGUGAGACUGCGGGGGAUAAGCUUCGUAGUCGAGAGGGAAACAGCCCAGAUCACCAGCUAAGGUCCCUAAGCGUGUGCUAAGUGGGAAAGGAUGUGGAGUUGCGAAGACAACCAGGAGGUUGGCUUAGAAGCAGCCACCCUUGAAAGAGUGCGUAAUAGCUCACUGGUCAAGUGAUUCCGCGCCGACAAUGUAGCGGGGCUCAAGCACACCACCGAAGCUGUGGCAUCAGCACUUUGCUCAGCUCACCCUUUUGUGGGGUGGGUUCAGGCGUGUUGAUGGGUAGGGGAGCGUCGUGC